rnacentral:rRNA from 1 species
CCUACGGGAGGCAGCAGUGAGGAAUUUUGCGCAAUGGACGAAAGUCUGACGCAGCGACGCCGCGUGGGCGAUGAAGCUCUUUGGAGUGUAAAGCCCUGUCAGGUGGGACGAAUCCAGGGCAGGUGAACAAUCCGCUCUGCUGACGGUACCACCAGAGGAAGCCCCGGCUAACUCUGUGCCAGCAGCCGCGGUAAU